UACGGAGGGUGCAAGCGUUAUCCGGAUUUACUGGGUUUAAAGGGAGCGUAGGCGGGUUUAUAAGUCAGUGGUGAAAGCCGAUCGCUUAACGAUCGAACUGCCAUUGAUACUGUAGACCUAGAGUACAGAUGAUGUUGGCGGAAUAUGACAUGUAGCGGUGAAAUGCAUAGAUAUGUCAUAGAACACCGAUUGCGAAGGCAGCUGACAAAACUGUAACUGACGCUGAGGCUCGAAAGUGCGGGGAUCAAACAGG
rnacentral:rRNA from 1 species